CGAACAGAAAAGGAGCUUGCUCCUUUGACGUUAGCGGCGGACGGGUGAGUAACACGUGGGCAACCUACCCUAUAGUUUGGGAUAACUCCGGGAAACCGGGGCUAAUACCGAAUAAUCUCUUUUGCUUCAUGGUAAAAGACUGAAAGACGGUUUCGGCUGUCGCUAUAGGAUGGGCCCGCGGCGCAUUAGCUAGUUGGUGAGGUAACGGCUCACCAAGGCGACGAUGCGUAGCCGACCUGAGAGGGUGAUCGGCCACACUGGGACUGAGACACGGCCCAGACUCCUACGGGAGGCAGCAGUAGGGAAUCUUCCACAAUGGGCGAAAGCCUGAUGGAGCAACGCCGCGUGAGUGAAGAAGGUUUUCGGAUCGUAAAACUCUGUUGUAAGGGAAGAACAAGUACAGUAGUAACUGGCUGUACCUUGACGGUACCUUAUUAGAAAGCCACGGCUAACUACGUGCCAGCAGCCGCGGUAAUACGUAGGUGGCAAGCGUUGUCCGGAAUUAUUGGGCGUAAAGCGCGCGCAGGCGGUCCUUUAAGUCUGAUGUGAAAGCCCACGGCUCAACCGUGGAGGGUCAUUGGAAACUGGGGGACUUGAGUGCAGAAGAGGAAAGUGGAAUUCCAAGUGUAGCGGUGAAAUGCGUAGAGAUUUGGAGGAACACCAGUGGCGAAGGCGACUUUCUGGUCUGUAACUGACGCUGAGGCGCGAAAGCGUGGGGAGCAAACAGGAUUAGAUACCCUG
rnacentral:rRNA from 1 species